rnacentral:rRNA from 1 species
UUCGGAAUUAGCUUUGUUGGUGAGGUAAUGGCUCACCAAGGCGACGAUCCGUAACUGGUCUGAGAGGAUGAUCAGUCACACUGGAACUGAGACACGGUCCAGACUCCUACGGGAGGCAGCAGUGGGGAAUAUUGGACAAUGGGCGAAAGCCUGAUCCAGCCAUGCCGCGUGUGUGAAGAAGGUCUUCGGAUUGUAAAGCACUUUAAGUUGGGAGGAAGGGCAGUAAGCUAAUACCUUGCUGUUUUGACGUUACCGACAGAAUAAGCACCGGCUAACUCUGUGCCAGCAGCCGCGGUAAUACAGAGGGUGCAAGCGUUAAUCGGAAUUACUGGGCGUAAAGCGCGCGUAGGUGGUUUGUUAAGUUGGAUGUGAAAGCCCCGGGCUCAACCUGGGAACUGCAUCCAAAACUGGCAAGCUAGAGUACGGUAGAGGGUGGUGGAAUUUCCUGUGUAGCGGUGAAAUGCGUAGAUAUAGGAAGGAACACCAGUGGCGAAGGCGACCACCUGG